UACAGAGGGGGCAAGCGUUGUUCGGAAUUACUGGGCGUAAAGGGCUCGUAGGCGGCCUUCUAAGUCGAACGUGAAAUCCCUGGGCUCAACCCAGGAACUGCGUCCGAUACUGGAAGGCUUGAAUCCGGGAGAGGGAUGCGGAAUUCCAGGUGUAGCGGUGAAAUGCGUAGAUAUCUGGAGGAACACCGGUGGCGAAGGCGGCAUCCUGGACCGGUAUUGACGCUGAGGCGCGAAAGCCAGGGGAGCAAACGGG
rnacentral:rRNA from 1 species